CAGAAUAUAGUUUAAUUAGAAUUUUAGUUUUGGAGACUAAGGGUAAAUUUUUAUUUUAUUCUGA
rnacentral:tRNA from 1 species